AAGAUGAUGUAUGAAAGCUUUUGACUUCAGAUGGAAUGCACCUAAGAAAUUGCUUAUUUUCAUAUUGUGUGUACUAAAAUUGUUUGGUUUUAGAUUUUGACACACUUAUAAGUGUUUGUUUGAAUUUUCUCCUAUUCACUUCUGGCAUGCUCUCUCUCUUUCUUUAUGUUGCAUGUUGGUUAAAUGCAUCAACUGUUUCUCUUUGUAUUACAUUUCCUGUGGAAUAUUCUCCUUCUUAAUUUUAGCAUACCUG
rnacentral:misc_RNA from 1 species